AUUGAACGCUGGCGGCAGGCCUAACACAUGCAAGUCGAACGAGUGGCGGACGGGUGAGUAAUGUCUGGGAAACUGCCCGAUGGAGGGGGAUAACUACUGGAAACGGUAGCUAAUACCGCAUACCAUCGGAUGUGCCCAGAUGGGAUUAGCUAGUAGGUGGGGUAACGGCUCACCGAGGCGACGAUCCCUAGCUGGUCUGAGAGGAUGACCAGCCGCACUGGAACGGAGACACGGUCCCGACUCCUACGGGAGGCAGCAUUGGGGAAUAUUGCACAAUGGGGGCAAGCCUGAUGAAGCCAUGCCGCGUGUAUGAAGAAGGCCUGCGGGUGGUAAAGUAAUUUCAGCGGGGAGGCGUUACUCGAAGAAGAAGCACCGGCUAACUCCGUGCCAGCAGCCGCGGUAAUAC
rnacentral:rRNA from 1 species